CUUUUACAUAUAUUUCUCCACCGAAGAAAACAUCAUAAAAAUGGCAAACUUCUCUGCUCUUCUCACGAUAACUCUCCUCCUUUGCUCCACGCUGAUGUGCACCGCCCGUCCCGACCCGACCUUUUCGGCCUCUAUCACAAUUGUUACGGCUGACCCGCUGGUUAGUCACAUUCCAUGAGUCCAUUUCCACAUAUAUAUAUAUUAUAUGUGCAUGUCGUAAUCAUAAUAAAAUGUAUAUAUCAGAGCUUGUAAUAUUAGCGAAACUUUUUAAAGAUAUUAUAAACUUUUGUACAUGUAGUUUGAUAUGUCCUAAUGUAUGAUUUAGGAAAAGAGCAUAGAAGGAAAACUGGAUGAUGUGGCAGAAGAGAACUGUGGUGCUAACGACGAAGAUUGCUUAAUGAGGAGGUCUUUGGUUGCUCAUGUUGAUUACAUCUAUACCCAGAAACAGAAGAAGAAUCUUUGAUAUUGCCGUGAUUUGCAAAUGGGAGUUCACAGUUCUCCAAGACAAGACCCACGAAAGUAGAGGGUACAUCCACCUGAUUAUAUAUCAAUCUCAGUAAGUUCCACGUUAGAAAAGACUAAUCUACCAGAGAGAGAAGAGAGGAGGACCUUAGGUUUGCAGAGAGAGCGACGCAAGUUGGAGAAACAACCAUCACAUACAACUGUGAGAGGAGCAUAUAAUCUAAGCUCAUUGCCCUCUUUGGUCUUGUACUGAACCCCUUUGACCGUCCCGUUCUCUUCAAGAAGAGACGUAACUGUUCCUUGCUCCAAACGUACACUGAAACCUCAAACAAAACAUUAGAAUAAGCAGAACGCAAUUUAAAUAACAAAAUAAAAAAAAAAUGAUUACUUUGAGAGAGUAGCGGCUUUGUCUCGCAUUCUCUGCACAAAUCUCCCAUUGUGGAAGCUUCUCCCGGAGACAUCCGAAUCAAACGCUUCCAAGGGGUAAGAAAGCUUAGUGUGCUUCCCGUCUUUGAAGAGAGCAUAACCAAGAACUCGUUGAGCAUCUAUCUCCUUCACGCAAUCUACACAAUGACACUAUCAACUUAUAUACCAAACUUCAGUCCAAGUAUAAAUAUAUAAAUAUAUAUAUAUAUAUAUAACACAUUCAAGCUCAUUACUUUACCCUCAAGUCCAACUAUAUAUAUGACACAUUCAAGAUCACUGGUUUACCUUCAAGGCCGAGCUGAAUUAACUUCAAGUAACCACCAGGUUGAAGCAAUUCACCAACGAUCCUCUCUUGCUCAGACAAGUCUCUUUCUAUAACGUGCACUCUUCGUCCUUCCUGUAAACCACACAAUAAAGGGCCAAUAAGCAAACAAGGAACUUACGUCUUGAAACACACAAACAAAAAAAAACUCCUCACAUUUGGAGCAAUGACUAAAAAACAAACACGUAUAUAUCUCCAAUGUUCUGGAACUAUUAUAGAUCACACCAAUAUUGUGAUCUGAGAUAAACUACAAUACAAACUAUAUAAAUUAAUACUCAGAAAAUUAAUUAAUAAUGGAAGGCAUAUCAAACACAUACACAAUCAAACAAGCAAAAAUUGAGUUUUCUCUAAGUUACUCUCAAGCACACACACGCAUUUGGAGCAAUGACUAAGAAACAAGCAUAUGAUCAUUCUUAGUGAUUUAUCUUAAAUUACAUUGUUGCGAAAAAUAUAUUUAAAUCCUAAAUGUCUACACGAAAAGAAAAAGUGUUGUAGAAAAUUUCCAGAAAUAGAAAGUAAAUUGAGAAUCACACAAAUCUGAAAAAAGCUGAUUCUAGAAGACUUGCCUUGCCGAGAGUAUGAGCGAGAGCGGCACCAGCAACACCAGCUCCGACGAUUAUAACAUCGAUUCCGGAAUCAUCCUCCGCGGCAAGAUUCCUAGAUACGACAUCGUUCCGAGAAGAAACGACGUCGAGGCCACGAUUGAUCUUACUCCGAUUCGAAUCCGCAUCAUCUUUACGAUCACGACUACUCCGUCGCAAGACAUAAACAAGCACUAACGCAAACAGAGAAGCGAAAAACGUAGCUAGAAUGAACUGAUCGAAUUCAAUCGCCGGCGCCAUUAUCACCGUCCCUGCAGAGAUCAGAGAUGCGCGUUCGUGUCCGUCUUUCUUGCGGCGAGGAAAGGCGGCUCCGGUGGUUAAGGAAGUGUUUCUGAGACGACGCGUGGAGAGAGAGAGACGAGGAGAGGGUAAGGGAGAUCCAAGAGAUGCGGUGGUUGUUGUUAAUCCAAGUCGUGGAAGGUUCUGGAUAACUGCCAGUUUCAUAGUUUUUGUUUAGUCGAAUUAUUUGCUGGACUUGUAACAGAUUUUUAUUUUGCUGAGUAACGUCCACGGUUAAGUUUAUCUUUUCUCGUGUGGGCCUUAAUGAGAAAACCCAUCAAGGGUGAUGAGAACUUGAAGCCCUCUUAUUCUACGCCAUUUGUACUAUAGCCCCAUUCUCUAAAAUAUAUACAAUGAUGAUGGUAGAUUUUGGUAAAGAUAUUGGCGUAUUAAAACUCAUACGGUACGUGUAAGACCUUAACCUCACCUAGUGCGACCUUCUCUCUGACAAAAUGAAUGUCUAGCUCAACGUGUUUCAUCCUUUGUGUUUAAAGUGAGUUUGGUCUCGGGUGAAGUAAACAAUACUAAAAAUGGAUCGAACAUAAGCGUUUAUUAGAUUUCGAGAUGAGGUUACAAAGGUGGAGAAAGUAAUGGCAAGCUGGAGCUCGUGAGAGCUUAAACCGGAAAAGUACAAAUAGCAGAGAGAUGAUUGUACGGACAAUAAACCCUAAUCUCGCCGCUAAGUUUGUGUAGCCAAGUGUCGAUACCCUUUCUCCUUUGCUUUCCUCUCUUUUUAUAGUCUUUAUCUGAUCGACUUAACCUAAUUCAUUUUUAAUUGAUUGGGCCUUGUCGGCCUUUCGGGCCUGGCUAGUGAAUGUUCGUCCCGAGCUGCUAAGUCGAUCACGCUCUGUCUGCUCUCUGUUCGACUAAAAGCAGUCUAUAGUCGAGUCGAAACUCCGAAUAUCGGCUUCCGAGCCGACGACUAUUCGGCUUAUCGGAUUGGGCCUUUUGUUCGAUGGGCUUUGUGGAUGGGUUCAAUCCAUCCCCAACACUUUGAUGCUUGACAGGGUUGGAAAAUAAAUGACUAAGAUGAUGUUGUCAUAAAAUAUGAGUGUAGCACGAGUAAUCAGUUGAUGAAGUUCAAGGACUUAGUUUCAUAGCCAACAUGUCUCAGAAACUGUGUUGGCUACUCCAUUGUAUUCAAUUUAUUAACAGAAAGAAAGCCUGGCGGAUCUUAACCAAUCCAGAAAGCCUAGCAUAAGAGAUAUCCAGUUGUUCAAUAUCGCCCUACUCGCGAAGAAAGCCUGGCGGAUCUUAACCAAUCCAGAAUGCCUCCUAGCUCGAGUUCUAGUGGGGAAGUACUGCCAAAAUAAAAGUCUCCUAUCAGUAACUCCGACGACUUCUUGCUCACAUGGAUGGAAGAGUCUACUUCUCGGCUGAUAUUUACUCGCAACUCAAAUAGCAAAGGCUAUUGGCGAUGGAAGUACAACGCGUGUGGUCUGAUCGCUGGAUACUAACUGACUCUCUUGGUACUCCUUUCAGACCGACAAAGAAAGUAGACCAGGAUAUCAUGGUGUCUGGCCUGCUGUGUAGAGGAACAAAUGAAUGGAAUGCUGCAAGGGUCAAGAGCCUAUUCCCGCUAAUUGCAGAGAAAAUACUGAGCAUCAGACCUAGUAUAUUUGGAGCCAUUGACAUAUAUGUGUGGCCACUGAACACAAAUGGAACUACUCGGCAAAAUCAGGCUAUCUCACAGCUGUUAAAAACCAAACAACUCUCGACACUGAAAGUCAGUUACUCGAGUUGGAAUGGACAAAAAAAGUAUGGCCAGCACCUUGUAUCCCAAAGAUCAAAAUUUUUGCAUGGAAACUGUGUCAAGGUGCCCUCCCCCUUGGAGCAAAUCUGGAAAAAGGGGAUUUGGAGCCAAUGUUAGAUGCCCUAGAUGUGGAGAGCGAGAAACAGCUGAACACUUAAUCUUACACUGUCGUUUUGCCAAGGAAACCUGGUGAAAUAGUCCCCUUCACACAGAACUUUAAUACAAGCAACAUAGCUCGUUGAAUGAUGCAAUCUUAACUGGAUUGAAACUGGUCUGCACAAGAUAGACACCAAGGUUCUUCUUUCUUCGAGCAUACACGAUCACCACUGAUCGGAGAAGCGCUUGCGGUGCGUUCAGCAUUCUCCCAUGCCCUGGACUUGGGAAUCAAUAGAGUCUGUGUAUACUCAGACUGUCAACUGCUCGUCAGAGCAAUCUCGUCGAAAUCACCACCGGUAGAAAACAUCAACAUCUUUUCCUUGCAAUUUGAUGUUUUCUCCCUGUCUUUUAUUUAUAGAAUGAUUCUGCUGUUUCGCUAGCGAAAAUAGCAUUAUGUAAUACCUACCUUGUGUAGGACAACUCCUACUUACUGAUGAAUGUUUUUAUGUGUUAAAAAAAAGGGUAUAUAUUAAGGUUAAAAGAAAACCUAGCUUCGCCCUGAUUACUAUCAUAUUCCCAAUCUUAUUGGCCAAAUGAGUCAUAUCUCACUCUCAUUCAUAUUAUCAUCACUCUCCCAAAAUUAAACCGUAAUUCUGAAACCAUAUCAAAUUUAGCCAUCAUGUUUACGUGGUUUGGAUAUAUAUAUCUGAUAAUCAGUCACGCGUAAACUAUCAAUAGUAUUAAAUAUUCAAAUAACACGCUUUUGAGUUUGGUGCGUUCCAAUAGGGAUGAUAUCACCAACUCAUCAUACGUGUGGUGGGGGGACGUAUCGCUUGUGGUAAGAUUGUUUGUUCAUAUUCAAAUGUGAAUGUAUUUUAAAAGAAAAUAGAUAGACAUGCCUUUAAUAAGUGGAUGAUUAUCAUUCUACCAUCCCACGUUUCGUACACGCCGACUAUAUAUUCUUUUCUUCUACUUAUGGGGUUUGGUUCAAUUCCACCACUAACACUAUGCGCAAGUGUGAAAGAAUAUUAUCUUCUUCCACUUUCAAUCUUAGCGGUCAAAUGAGUCAACCAAAACUCCAUAAUUAGACUCUCUCUUUUUGUUUAUUAAAUAAACAUUUGAGGUUAUCAACGUGCGCGUUAAUUUCGGUUUGGAAGAAAAAAUGAUAAAAAAAAACAAAAAUAGAGUUGACUAAUUUUCCUAUAAAUAUCAAGUUUUAAAGAAACCAAACCCGUCAUCAAAUCAUCUCUUUUACAUAUAUUUCUCCACCGAAGAAAACAUCAUAAAAAUGGCAAACUUCUCUGCUCUUCUCACGAUAACUCUCCUCCUUUGCUCCACGCUGAUGUGCACCGCCCGUCCCGACCCGACCUUUUCGGCCUCUAUCACAAUUGUUACGGCUGACCCGCUGGUUAGUCACAUUCCAUGAGUCCAUUUCCACAUAUAUAUAUAUUAUAUGUGCAUGUCGUAAUCAUAAUAAAAUGUAUAUAUCAGAGCUUGUAAUAUUAGCGAAACUUUUUAAAGAUAUUAU
rnacentral:lncRNA from 1 species